rnacentral:rRNA from 1 species
UAGAAGUGCAGUGAUGCAUGGAGCGGACCAUUACUAAUCGGUCGAGGACUUAACCAAA